rnacentral:misc_RNA from 1 species
AUGAAUGGCCCUCUUGGGCCUUCAACCCCAAAAAACCGUGGAAUCUUUCCGUGCUUCGGCGCCCUCGUGGCGUCGUAUUAAUGCAAUCGAACUGUCUGUCUGAAUCCUAUCUAGAAUUA